AAUUUAAAUACAAGUUAACAUUUGUGAAGCGUUAUAUGCCAAAUGCUUUAAUUUUUAAGGCUCACAACAGCCUUAUGAGGUAGGAACUAUCAUAAGCAGAUCCACACUGCGGAUGGGGAAAUUAAGUUGCACGGGGCGUAAGGCGACGGCUCUGAGGCGGAACCGCCACUUGGAGUCGGGACUCAACUGCUGAGAGCGCAAGCUCCGUAACUACGUAACCGUCUCGGGCAUGCGCAGAAAAACACUGAAGCACCUUCCCUAGGAGCUGUAAGUAGGUGGGUGUGGCGGGGGCCUCUGCAAUCCCAGCAUUCCCUUCGUGCCGCCACCAAGAUGGCGGCGCCCAUCUUGCGGUCCUUUUCCUGGGGCCGUUGGUCUGGUGCCCUAAAUCUCUCCGUAUUCUUGCCCUUUGGGCUGCGUAAGGCCCACUCGGGCGCUCAGGGGUUACUGGCAGCGCAGAAGGCUCGAGGUCUGUUCAAGGACUUCUUCCCGGAGACGGGGACGAAAAUAGAGCUCCCAGAGCUCUUCGACCGUGGCACGGCGAGUUUUCCCCAAACCAUUUACUGUGGCUUCGACCCCACGGCAGACUCGCUUCAUGUGGGUCAUCUGCUUGCGCUGCUGGGCCUGUUUCACUUGCAGCGAGCGGGCCACAACGUGAUCGCGCUGGUGGGAGGCGCCACGGCGCGCCUGGGAGACCCGAGCGGCCGGACCAAGGAACGCGAGGCUCUGGAGACAGACCGCGUGCGAGCCAACGCGCGCGCCCUGCGCCUAGGGCUGGAGGCCCUGGCGGCUAAUCACCAGCAGCUUUUCACCGAUGGGCGCUCCUGGGGCAGCUUCACUGUGCUGGACAACUCGGCCUGGUACGAGAAGCGGCAGCUGGUGGACUUCCUGGCGGCAGUGGGGGGUCACUUCCGCAUGGGGACGCUGCUGAGCCGGCAGAGCGUGCAGCUGCGGCUCAAGAGCCCCGGGGGCAUGAGCUUGGCCGAGUUCUUUUACCAGGUGCUCCAAGCCUAUGACUUCUAUUACCUCUUCCAGCGUUAUGGAUGCAGGGUCCAGCUGGGCGGAUCUGAUCAACUAGGCAACAUCAUGUCCGGAUAUGAGUUCAUCAACAAGUUGACUGGAGAAGAUGUAUUUGGAAUCACCGUUCCUCUAAUUACAAGUACAACUGGAGCAAAGCUGGGAAAGUCUGCUGGCAACGCUGUUUGGCUAAACAGAGAUAAGACAUCUCCAUUUGAAUUGUAUCAGUUCUUUGUCAGGCAACCAGAUGAUUCAGUGGAAAGGUACCUGAAGCUGUUCACUUUCCUGCCCCUUCCAGAGAUUGAUCAUAUCAUGCAGCUGCAUGUCAAAGAGCCAGAAAGGCGGGGUCCUCAGAAACGACUGGCAGCAGAAGUAACAAAGCUUGUUCAUGGACGAGAAGGAUUGGAUUCUGCUAAAAGGUGUACAAAAGCCCUUUAUCACAGUAGCAUAGAUGCACUGGAGGUCAUGUCUGAUCAGGAGUUGAAAGAGUUGUUUAAAGAAGCUCCAUUUUCUGAAUUUUUUCUCGAUCCUGGAACAAGUGUCCUAGAUACCUGCCGCAAAGCAAAUGCCAUUCCAGAUGGUCCCCGAGGGUAUCGAAUGAUAACAGAAGGCGGAGUCAGCAUAAAUCACCAACAAGUAACAAAUCCUGAGAGUGUUUUAAUUGUUGGACAACAUAUUCUCAAGAAUGGACUUUCCUUACUUAAAAUAGGAAAAAGAAAUUUCUACAUUAUAAAAUGGCUUCAGUUAUGAUGAAAAGUCCUUCUGGUUGUCCACAUAAACUUACCCAUCAUUCAUUCUCAAGACCUCUGAAGGGUUGGCUCCAGAACUUAAGACCUUUGCUUAUGCAAAUCAGAAAAACAGAAUGGACUAGGACUCAGUGCAGCAGAGCAUGGCUUUAGUGUUCAAAUUCUAGCGAUUUACUACCUGGAUUACUUGGAGCAAGUCACUGUCUUCAUACGCAAAAAAUGGAGAUGUUAUAAUACCUUGGUGAACUGUCAGAAUCUGGUAGGAAAAAAGUCAUAAAAUUUUUGGUACUCUAUACGGUUAUGUUCCAAAAUAGAUUUAGGUAUUAAAAAGCUCCUUUUGUCUCCCUUUCUCUGGGAGAAAAAUUAAGAAUUCAUUUUUUGACAAACUUUAAUGUCAUUUCAUACCAGCAAUUUUAUUUACACAGCAAGAACAUACAGGUAUCAUCAGAGAUCAUCUCUACAUUUCAGAUCUUGACUCAGUUUAAGGGCCAACAAAGGAAGGCUUUUCUCUUUCCAUUAAGUUUCUGGCCUCUGUUUUUUGUUGUACAAAGUGUGUAGUACUAGCAAGUGCAUUACCAUAGCAUGUCUUUAAUUUUCAAUUUGAAAUCUGAUGUGCUGGAGAAAAGUGCAUCGUAAGUUUUUGUUUUUGUUUUUUUUUCCCCUUACAAAUUCAAAGGACUAGAAUAAUGGUAGUCAUCUGGAAAGAGUAAAUCAUGAUGGCUAUAAUUUUGAAACUGAUGCUUAAUGAUGGCAGUGAUUUUUAAGUGUGGCAACAAACGUUUUGGGAGCAUGUAUCCUCUGUCAAGAUGGUACUAGUAACAGAUUCAAAGUAGUACCAUAUCGUAUCAGACUGAUGUGGGGGUUUUCAUGUUUGAAAUCAGUUGGUGAGCCUGUUGUUCCUCAGUAAAUUGAUGCCGUAAGCUAAAGUUAACAUAUUCAUAUUUUCCCUGCCAAUAGUCCUUCACAAAUACCUGGUCGUAAACUGAAAAAAAAUUAAUAUCUGCAAUAUAAAUGUGUUGUCUAUUAGGGACAGGGCUAGAUGUCUUAAGGAUUUCUAAGUACAUCUUAAAAUUUAUAAUGUAGUAGUUCAUACCAAGAAUCAUCUGGGGAAUUUUAACAAAAUAUGUACAUGUUCUAAACCUCAUCACUACCCCAUAAAUGCAGCUUAAGUCUGUUAAGUCUGAA